UUGGUGGCCAAAUUGCAGAAAUAGAGAGGGAGAGUGCAUGAGGCUCUUCCAUAAAAAUUUAGAGAGAGAAAAAGAAAGACAAGCAAAAUCUCUAUCAAAAUCACAUUUUUACCUCAAAAUCCCUUCACAAAAGUUGUUCCUUUCAUCAAGAGCAACAUUCUUAUGGUUUUAGAUUUUUAAGAGGAAGAGUUUGAUGUGGAAACGAUGGAAAAAGAAAUGGGGAAAGCAAAAACAAGUUAGUGCUUGAAGUAGAGGGCCAUUGGACAAUAUGGAAGUGGAAUUGGAGGUUUGAUCAUGGGGGGUUAAGUUAUAAAAGCAAAGAAGAAAUAAUAAAACUAAAAGGUAGUAAAUUUACCCUUGAAUGCAUACUUAGUAUUUCUGUUUGUAUGUUGAUAUGUUUGAUUUGUUUUCUUGAUUAUAAGAAUCAUGAAUGAAUGUUUGAGUUCUAUUUUUUCAAGUGUUCCAUGGUCUGUGUAUGAUGUAUGAGAUAUUGUGCAUGUAACAUGUCAUGUUAGUUAUGAGUUUAUGUAAUGCAAGCAUUUGUCACAUAUGAAGUUUUUACCUUGUAUGCUUGAAUGGUUUUGUUUACCAUUGAGAUUCUCUCAAAUCUCACCCCCAAUGACUAACCAUUCUAGGUUAUAAGCCUCCAAAGAAAGAGUUAGAGUAAGAAGUAAAGGUAAGUAAAUGAAGAGAUGAUUUUAUUAUGAAAUUACUUUACUAAAAGAUAAAAAAUGUAUAAAUAAUUCCAUGAGCUAUGUAAAUUUAUGAUCAGACCUUGGUAUGUAUAUAUGAUAUGUGGUGAAGUAUGAUGGCCAAUUUGAAAUCCCAAACAAGCCUUGAAAUUUUGAUUUUAAUAUGUAUGAUUGAGAUUGUUCAGUUUAAGCUCUUUUCAGAGGAAGGUUUCAUUAUUGAAUGUAUAGUAACCCAUGUCCAAUGCUCAUGAAAAUUUUUAUGAAAAAAAAAAUAGACACUUAAAUAUUUCCAACAAGUGCUACACUAGAUCAUUUGGAUAUAUAAAUCUUGAGUUAUGAAUUUUUUUUAGUUAUAACACAGAUCCUGUAAGAGAAAUAGAGCAACUUUGAAAAAGUGAAUAAAUUAUGCUAUUGGAAACCGAAAAAGGUUUAAAAUAUAUUUUUAUCAUUUAAAGGACUUCAAAAGAUUUCAAGAGAAUUUUAGAACAUUCUCAUGCAAAUUCUCAAUAUUUAGUUAUAAAUUUUUAAAAUUUAGCAAAUAUUUUAGACUUACCAAAUGAGCAAUAACCCAACAAUUGAUUUAUAAAUUUUAAUUUAUGGGUUUUAAUUUGCUGUUCACUUGAACCAUAUCACUUCUAGUUGCCUAGAGAAGUGUGAAAAGUGAGAGUGUGACAGGGAAAAAAACAAAAAAACUUGUUUGAUGACUUGUUUUACAUAAUUAACAUUAACAUAAUUUUUUAUAUUUAUUUAAUAUUAUAUUAUUACUAUAAAUUAAUUUAAUAAUAAAAUUUGAAUAGAAUCACUGAAAAAAUAACAAAAAUAACACUGGAAUAUAUAAGAGUCUUAUAAAAAAAAUCAACCCUCAAACUAACAUAAUCCUAAGCAAAGUCUCCAAAAAAUUGAUUUAAAAAACACAAGGCCAAGCUUAAUUAAGAUGAGUACUAAAAUCAUGCCACAUUUGAGAUGUAAUAUAAUCACGUUGUGUUGCCAUCUUUAUUGUACUUUCUUCAUAUAAUCUUAAAGAGUUCUCUAGGUUAUAGCUUGCACUUUCUGCAUUUGUGUUUUCAUUCAUCCACUCCACUAGUUCAAAAUCCAUAUUUUCUCAUUGAUUGAUUAGGCAUAUCACGAAGACUGCUUUACAUAUGUAAUUGGAAAAUCAAGCCUUCAAGAUUCCAAAAGAACACUCAAUCAUCAUUCUUAAUGAAAAAUGCCUAAAAUUAAAAGAUUCUCUUUGACUUGUACUUCAAUAGCCUCUACCUUGAUAUUCUUGUGCAUGGUAUCUUUUCCCUCUGUAUGGUGGAAGAAAACCAUCACUGCAAGUGUGUCCAAAAUCUACAAGAAAAUAUUUAUCUAUAUAUAACAAAAACAAAAAAAAUAUUUAUAAAUGAGCUAGUAAUAUAUAUAUAUAAACAUUUUAUGUAAAAAUAUACCUCUAAAGGGUCAUGAAAAAGUUGCGUGAGGAUUGUUAAUUGCAUCCAUUAAAAUCUUAGCAUUAUGGGUACCAACCUCCCAACCCGAAUAGAAGUUUCAAUACACAUAACAUUUUGUAUAACAAUUGUCUUCCAUCCUUUACAUAAUGCUUGCUUUUCAAAAGGUACCCAAACAUUUACAUGUAUACCAUCAAUUGCACCUACACAAUUCUACAAGAAAAAUAUUUAUAAAUAUACAUAGUUAUAAUAAAAAGAAAUAAUAAACAAAGAAAAGUAAUUAUCAAGACUUACCCUGAACUAAGGAAGAUACGUUGAUUUUUUUUUUUUUUUUUGCAUGGUCUGGCAACUCUGGAGGCUGCAGAUAAGAAGUCGAGGGUCAUCAGAGCGACGUCGUUAGGGAGGUCAUGGUGGGAGUAUUCGAGAAAAUGAUCCGAGGAUGUUGAAGGUUCACUAGUCACUUUUGCGUUUCUGGAUGGUGACGCUUGGUUUCCUCUGCUUUGGAGAUUUUUUGGGAUUUUUUAGGAAACAGGGCAUAAAAGUCUUUUCAUCUAAAAUUUCAACUACAAUCAAGUACCACGACCAUGGGAGUUGGCAGUAUGUUCUCAAAUUUGCGGACCUAUACGUAAUUUUUCCCAAGUAAUUUGAUAAACCAACCGAUUAUCAAA